CCACAACCUACAGUAAGCACCCCUGGAGUCACACCACCAAGCCAACACUGUGGUAAGUAUAGGACUGUCAGAGAAAGUACAUGACACAACACAGAGAGGCUAGUUAGGUCACACACAAGACAACACAGAGGCUAGUUUAGGUCACUAACAAGACAACACAGAGGCUAGUUUAGGUCACUAACAAGACAACACAGAGGCUAGUUUAGGUCACUAACAAGACAACACAGAGGCUAGUUUAGGUCACUAACAAGACAACACAGAGGCUAGUUUAGGUCACUAACAAGACAACACAGAGGCUAGUUUAGGUCACUAACAGGACAACACAGAGGCUAGUUUAGGUCACUAACAAGACAACACAGAGGCUAGUUUAGGUCACUAACAAGACAACACAGAGGCUAGUUUAGGUCACUAACAAGACAACACAGAGGCUAAUUUAGGUCACUAACAAGACAACACAGAGGCUAGUUAGGUCACUAACAAGACAACACAGAGGCUAGUUUAGGUCACUAACAAGACAACAUAGAGGCUAGUUUAGCUCACAAAAGACAACAUUUGCUCUAUAUUGAAGAACAGACAAUGUAAGUGAACUGUGCAUGGAGGCCAUUUUUCAUUAUGUGAUCCAUUUGUUUUUUUCUGUCGUGGAAGGUUGAGUUUAAUUGGAUUCAAUUGAAUGCAAGAGCUGCCUCCUG
rnacentral:lncRNA from 1 species